UUUGAUGUCUUUUUAGAAUGUAGUAGAAGCUAUCUUAGAUAAAAAUGAAUAAUAUAUUUACAACAAUGCCGAUAUAUUCAAUGUUAAAUGUCACCGUAUUAAUCCAAAGUAUUUCAACAUGUCUGUGUUCUCGUGAGAUUUGCAAAAAACGUGACCAUUGGGAACUUUGACGACCACCCACAUCGUAUGCUCUAGAAGUUUUUCUUUUAAUUGAUACCAAAAUUAGCUGUGUGUUAGAUAGGUGCAUUAGAAACCUUUAACGAGAGGUUUUUUAUCAAAUCGGCGUCUAUAACAAUUUAUUCAACAUAAAAUAGACACCAGCAUAGAUCGCAGCAUUAUCACGCAUAUAUUUGAUAUCUUAUUAAGAACAAGUUAAUAAAGAAUUCAAGCAACAAUCUACGUAGAGCAAUACUAGCAAAUUUUGUCAGUAGGAAUACUAUGACUUUCAAAAACGUCUUACGCAUCGUUGAAGUUAAAUAGUCCAUAUAAAUUUCAUACACUUUGAAUGAUUCUUUAACGUUACGAAUUCUUUAGGAAUCGACAAAUCGGCAACGUAAUAUAGUAGUGUCUUCAAUAAUAAGAAAAACACAUCAAAACUGAUCACCUAAACAUCAUCUUUUCAUCAAAUAUUUUUACAUUCUGAAGGGUAAAACAGUUUUAAACUGUCUGCUGUUAUAAACAUUUGACACAGGAACAGGACAUUUGAAAUGUAUGACAUUAUACUUGUGUGUGAUCAACUAUUUAUAGAAACAAUGAGAGUGCUGACCAGGAGAGAAAUAGAUUAAACAACUUGUGAUAUUUAAUUGAACAUUGAUUACUAAUAACUUUCUUUUUAUAAUUCUAAUAGUUAUAAUAAACGCGCCGAAGACUCAUUUAUUAUUAUAUUGAAAUUGAUAAACUCUGGUUGAUAUCAAACAAUAUCCAAUCCUCACUCAUUGUAGGACUAUCAGACGAAACGAACUGGUUAAUGUGCUUAUGAGACAUACAUAUGUAAACGAGAAACAUAAUUAAAACUCUGCAAUUGACUAUAAACUUAAAGUCCUUCCGUUUUUAUAGUUAAUUAGCCAUUUGAUAUAGUAUCCAUAAUAACGUUACAUAUCUAAAGUGAUUGUGUUAUGGAUUUUAUAUGCAUCUUCCAUUUUGGGGUUUUCAACAGCAGAUAAAUUUUUUAGCACUUCAAAAGAAAAACGUAUUUUGACUGAGACUGUACGAGUUAGAAAAUCCGUGUGCGAAGUGAAUCAUCGAUGAAUGUCCAAAAAG
rnacentral:lncRNA from 1 species